UUACUUUUGCCUGAGCACACACAGUAAGAGACCCAAUGAGCAAUAGAUGAAACUCAGUCACUGCUCGACAGUGGUAGAGAACGGUUUUCUGUUGAUUAACAAAUCAGUUACUUCACGUCCACGCGUAGAUUUCCGGUUUUUUUUAUUUUAUCUUCUAAAGAAAAGAAAGGAAAAAAGGCGGGAUAAAAUUUUUGGCGGGAGUGUGAUAAUAAUUUAAAAAUAAUACAAAAAUGAUGAAAAUAAAAUUUCGGAGUUUUGUCAGGUCUAAAAGACCUAUUGGCAUAUUUUAUUGAUAUCAUUGAUGAGGUAGUUGGAGCCUCAAUUUAUUGGAGUACCAGACCCAAAAGUCAUAUCACCAAUUGGAUAGCAGAUAUAACAUAGUUGGAUGGUUACGUGAAUAAGUUGCUCGACAAGUAUUGAAGAGAAAGAAGCAGGUGCUAGUACUACACCUGUCUGAAAACCCGAGCCAGUCGAAUUCCUCGGCGUUUACUCAUUCGAAACAACGAACCCGCGAGAAAAAAAAUAAAAAGACGAAGAUGAUGUAGAAGAAGAAGAAGUUUUAAAGUAUAUAUUGUGUAGCAGCUUUUGAAGCUGUGUAGUGACGUUCAAUGUGGUUUUGUAAAUGAGAGUGAAAACGAAAGAAUAAAAAAAAUCAACCCACAA